AAGAAAGUUAACAGCGCAGUAUUUUUUAGGGCCUCAAACAAAGAGAAGGGACAUAAAUUAUACCGAAGCAAUCAUGUUGCCGACGUGACAGAAGAAAGCGCGGACGUGCAACUGAGUGUUUUGAAACGACGAUGCGUGCGACAGGCCGAUGCACGCCUGGAGGUAUGCGCCGUCACAAUCGCGAGACCACCGGAAAUGCUGGAUUCGCCGUGUACGCCAUCUGAAUGCAGACGGAACCGAAUGGCAGCCGGCAGAGUGGUCACGAGUCUGCAGUGUACAUUUAGUAGGCGGAAAACCAUCGACGAGUCCAGCGUCUCCCGCGUACGCUCCUGCUGUUUUUCCCCCGACCUACCGCAAGACUGCACGUGUGUUGUUACACAUAGACCAAUGACUACAUAUGGGUACCCUAGUGAAAACUGACUAGUUCACAGGAGCAUGGUCGCGCCGGAAAACUGAAAACUUCGUUCCAGGUGGGCAGCUCUUGUAGCUACUAGCACAGUUUACGACCCAGAAAUUCAUACGCGACAUUGCAAAGCUCCACUAGCAACCUGACACGGCUCUACUCAUGGGCCGGCUGCUGCACUGAGCACGCGAGACGCGUUCGCC